GGGGUCGCAAGACACCGGCAAAAGGCUCAGUAACACGUCGAUAAUCUACCUUUGAGUUUGGGAUAACCUUGGGAAACUGAGGCUAAUACCUGAUAGGGAAAUUGUUCUGGAAACGAUUUUUUCCUUAAAGGCAACGCUCAAAGAUGAGUCGGCGGCGGAUUAGGCUGUUGGCGGGGUAAUGGCCCACCAAACCUAUGAUCCGUAAGGGCCCUGGGAGGGGUAGCCCUGAGAAGGACACUGAGAUACUGGUCCUAGCCCUACGGGGUGCAGCAGGCGCGAAAACUUUACAAUGCACGCAAGUGUGAUAAGGGAAUCCUAAGUGCUUAUACUUUUGUAUAGGCUUUUGCCAUGAGUAAAAAUCAUGGCGAAUAAGUGGUGGGCAAGACUGGUGCCAGCCGCCGCGGUAACCCCAGCGCCACAAGUGGCAACCAUCUUUAUUGGGCCUAAAGCGUCCGUAGCCGGUUUAGCAAAUCUCUUGUGAAAUUGUGAGGCUUAACCUUACAACGUGCAGGAGAGACUACUAGACUUGGAACCGGGAGGGGUCAGAAGUAUGCCUGGGGGAGCGGUAAAAUGUUAUAAUCCCAGGUAGACUACCUAUGGCGAAGGCAUCUGACCAGAACGGAUUCGACGGUGAGGGACGAAAGCUAGGGGAGCAAAACGGAUUAGAUACCCGAGUAGUCCUAGCUGUAAACUCUGCGAACUAGGUGUUGCGCAUUCUUCGUGAAUACGCAGUAUCGAAAUGAAGAUGUUUAGUUCGCCGCCUGGGAAGUACGGUCGCAAGACUGAAACUUAAAGGAAUUGGCGGGGGAGCACCACAAGGGGUGCGGCGUGCGGUUUAAUCUAAUUCAACACAGAGAAUCUCACCAGGAGCGACGGCAGGAUGAAAGACAGUCUAAAGGGCUUUCUUGACGAGCCGAGAGGUAGUGCAUGGCCGUCGUCAGCUCGUGCCGCAAGGUGUCCUGUUAAGUCAGGCAACGGGCGAGACCUGCAUCUACAAUUGCCAGCGGAUCCUUCGGGAUGGCCGGGCACAUUGUAGGGACUGCCUUGGAAACAAGGAGGAAGGCGCAGGCUACGGUAGGUCUGUAUGCUCCGAAUCUUCUGGGCUACACGCGCGCAACAAUGGUAGAGACAAUGGGAUACAACUCCGAAAGGAGAAGUUAAGCCUCGAAACUCUAUCUUAGUCCAGAUUGAGGGUUGUAACUCACCCUCAUGACGAUGGAAUCCCUAGUAAUUGGACGUUAUCAGCAUCCAGUGAAUAAGUCCCUGCUCCUUGCACACACCGCCCGUCAAACCACUCGAGCAAAGUUCAGAUGAGAUCUGGUUUAAUUGACCAUCUCGAAUCUAAGCUUAGCAAGAUGGGUUAAGUCGUCACAAGGUA
rnacentral:rRNA from 1 species